UGCAUAGCAUGAGAGGUUCCAUGGGCUUAGGUACCUGGCUUUUUAGCCAUAUCUUAGUGUACAAAUAUCAAUUAAUACCAUUUUUCAUAGUAAGAUUACGGGAAAAGUGAGUCUCAUUUACAGAGCGCUCUUUCACAGUUUCAUGUUUUUCUUCUCUCAUUUAGUAGACAUAAGAUUGAAAAAUUUGUAUGUAUCUUUGUUGCCGUAAUUUUUAAUAAGUAUUUCUCAAACUUAAUUGGCUUAACGUUCACCUUUGCAGAGAGGAUUUCGUUUCCGUUAUGUAUGUGAAGGCCCAUCUCAUGGUGGACUACCUGGUGCCUCUAGCGAAAAGAACAAGAAGUCUUACCCUCAGGUCAAAAUCUGCAACUAUGUGGGACCAGCAAAGGUUAUUGUUCAGUUGGUCACAAAUGGAAAAAAUACCCACCUGCAUGCCCACAGCCUGGUGGGAAAACACUG
rnacentral:sRNA from 1 species